AUGGUCUGGCUGGGAUCGGGAUGGUCUGGCUGGGAUCAGGAUGGUCUCUCUGGGAUCAGGAUGGACUCACCGCGAUCAGGAUUGUCUGUCUGGGAUCGGGAUGGUCUAUGUGGGAUCGGGAUGGUCUGGCUGGGAUCGGGAUGGGCUCACCGGGAUCGGGAUUGUCUGGCUGGGAUCAGGAUCAGGUCCCUGGGAUUGGGAUGCUCUGACUGGGAUUGGGAUGGUCUCAUAGGGAUUGGGAUUGUCUGCUUGACAUCGGGAUUGUCUGUCUGGGAUCAGGAUGGUCUGGCUGGAAUUGGGAUUGUCUGGCUGGGAUCGGGAUGGUCUGGCUGGGAUCAGGAUGGUCUGGUUGGGAUUGGGAUUGUCUGGUUGGGAUCAGGAUGGGCUCACUGGGAUUGGGAUGGUUUGGUUGGGAUCAGGAUGGUCUGGCUGGGAUCAGGAUGGGCUCGCUGGGAUCGGGAUGGUCUCUCUGGGAUUGGGAUGGUCUGGCCAGGAUUGGGAUUGUCUGGCUGGGAUCAGGAUGGGCUCACUGGGAUCGGGAUGGUCUGGCUGGGAUCGGGAUGGUCUGGCUGGGAUCGGGAUGGUCUGGCUGGGAUCAGAAUUGUCUUCUGGGAUCAGAAUUGUCUUCUGGGAUCGGGAUCACCUCCCUGGGAUCAGGAUUGUCUUGCUGGGAUUGGGAUGGUCUCUCUGGGAUCGGGAUCACCUUGCUGGCAUCAGGAUGGUCUCUCUGGGAUCGGGAUUGUCUGGCUGAGAUCGGGAUGGUCUCACCGGGAUCAGGAUGGUUUCUCUGGGAUUGGGAUUGUGUGGCUGGGAUUGGGAUGGACUCACUGGGAUCGGGAUGGGCUCGCUGGGAUCAGGAUCAGGUCCCUGGGAUCAGGAUUGUCUGGCUGGGAUCGGGAUUGUCUGGCUGGGAUCAGGAUGGGCUCGCUGGGAUCGGGAUGGUCUCCCUGGGAUCAGGAUGGUCUCUCUGGGAUCGGGAUCACCUCCCUGGGAUCGGGAUGGUCUCGCUGGGGUCAGGAUGGGCUCCCUGGGAUCAGGAUCAGGUCCCUGGGAUCGGGAUGGUCUGGCUGGGAUCGGGAUGGUCUGGCUGGGCUCGGGAUCACCUCCCUGGGAUCGGGAUUGUUCCCUCCAUGCCGGGAUUUGAGCGCGGUUUCAUUUUGGGGGUCCCCACCCUGCUUCUCCCCCCCCCAGCGGGAUGGGGAGGGCGAUUCCCACUUGGAAGAGCUUCCAAACACCUGGAAAAGCCUCUGGAUCCAGCGAGGAUCCGGCUUCCCACCCCCUCCUCCUCCCUCUCCAGCCGUAUCCAUGGGGAUGGAUCCCGGGGCUGGCAGAUGCUUCCAGGCUUUUAUCCCACGGGAGAGGGCUGGGAAAGCCUGGAAUGCCUCCAGAUCCCUGGGAAAAGGAGGAUUUGGGGAGGGGGGGGGAAGGCCAGGAGCCAGGGAUCAUCUCCAGGGCCGGCAUUCCCACAUUUUUAUCCCCGUUCCCGCUCCCCUGGCAGCUCCAGGGGCGGGGUGUUUGUGUGAUUCCUCGGCAAAUCCCGGCAGGAAAAGGGGGAGAGGCUGGAAUUCCUGGGGCCUGGAAUGUCCCUUCCCUGGCAUCGGAGGGUCCCUGUUGGAAAGCAGGGGGGGGCUUUUUUCCCCCCCCUUGGAAUGCAAAGCUGGGGAUAAUCCCCCAAAAAACCCGGCUCAGCUCCGGCUCUGGCGCAGCCGGGAAGGGCGUUCCCGGCAGGAAACCCUUUGGAUGCCACCGGCGCUCCCAGAAAACCCCGGGAACGGG
rnacentral:lncRNA from 1 species